UACGAAGGGGGCUAGCGUUGCUCGGAAUCACUGGGCGUAAAGCGCACGUAGGCGGCUUUCUAAGUCAGGGGUGAAAUCCCGGGGCUCAACCCCGGAACUGCCUUUGAUACUGGUAGUCUCGAGUCCGGAAGAGGUGAGUGGAAUUCCGAGUGUAGAGGUGAAAUUCGGAUAGAUAUUCGGGAGGAACACCAGUGGCGAAGGCGGCUCACUGGCCGGUA
rnacentral:rRNA from 1 species